AAAUUGAAGAGUUUGAUCAUGGCUCAGAUUGAACGCUGGCGGCAGGCCUAACACAUGCAAGUCGAACGGUAACAGGAAGCAGCUUGCUGCUUUGCUGACGAGUGGCGGACGGGUGAGUAAUGUCUGGGAAACUGCCUGAUGGAGGGGGAUAACUACUGGAAACGGUGGCUAAUACCGCAUAACGUCGCAAGACCAAAGAGGGGGACCUUCGGGCCUCUUGCCAUCAGAUGUGCCCAGAUGGGAUUAGCUUGUUGGUGAGGUAACGGCUCACCAAGGCGACGAUCCCUAGCUGGUCUGAGAGGAUGACCAGCCACACUGGAACUGAGACACGGUCCAGACUCCUACGGGAGGCAGCAGUGGGGAAUAUUGCACAAUGGGCGCAAGCCUGAUGCAGCCAUGCCGCGUGUAUGAAGAAGGCCUUCGGGUUGUAAAGUACUUUCAGCGGGGAGGAAGGUGUUGCGGUUAAUAACCGCAGCAAUUGACGUUACCCGCAGAAGAAGCACCGGCUAACUCC
rnacentral:rRNA from 1 species